CCUACGGGAGGCAGCAGUGAGGGAUAUUGGUCAAUGGGCGAAACCCUGAACCAGCAAAGCCGCGUGAGGGAAGACGGUUCUCGGAUUGUAAACCUCUGUCCUCUGGGAAGAUAAUGACGGUAGCAGAGGAGGAAGCUCCGGCUCACUACGUGCCAGCAGCCGCGGUAAUACGUAGGGAGCAAGCGUUGUCCGGAUUUACUGGGGGUAAAGGGUGCGUAGGGGGCCCUGCAAGUCAGAAGUGAAAUCCAUGGGCUUAACCCGUGAACUGCUGUUGAAACUGGAGGGCUUGAGUGAAGUAGAGGCAGGCGGAAUGCGCGGUGUAGCGGUGAAAUGCGUAGAGAUCGGGAGGAACACCAGUGGCGAAGGCGGCCUGCUGGGCUUUAACUGACGCUGAAGCACGAAAGCGUGGGUAGCGAACAGGAUUAGAUACCCUUGUAGUC
rnacentral:rRNA from 1 species